UUGCCAUGGUAUCCGGGGUGCUUGCUAAGGUGUUGCUAGGCGGUUGCUAUGGUAUCUGGGUUGGUUGCUAAGGUGUUGCUAGGUGGUUGCUAGGCGGUUGCCAAGGUGUUGCUAUGGUAUCCGAGGUGGUUGCUAAAUGGUUACUAGGCAGUUGCUAACGUAUUCCACAUGGUUGCUAAGUGGUUGCUAGGCACUUGCUAAUGUUUUCCAGGUGGUUGCUAAGGUGUUGCUAACUGGUUGCUAGGCAGUUGCUAACGUAUUCCACAUGGUUGCUAAGUGGUUGCUAGGCAGUUGCUAACAUUUUCCAGGUGGUUGCUAAGGUGUUGCUAACUGGUUGCUAGGCAGUUGCUAACAUAUUCCAGACAUAAAAAGAAAGAGAAAGCAAGACAUAGAAAAGUAGAGUGAAAGAGAAGUAGAGAGAAGAGCGAGAAAUAAAGAAAGAGUAAGAGAGAAUAGAGAAAUAGAAAAGUAGCGAGAAAGAGAAAUUGAGACGUAGAGAGAGAGAGUGCGAAAGAGAGAAAGAAAGAGUGAGAAAUAUAGAAGUAGAGAGUAAAAGAGAGAGUGAGAGAUAGAGACGUAGAGAGAGAGUGAGAAAGAGAGUGAGAAAUUCAGAAGUAGAGUGAGAAAGAGAGUGAGAAAUAGAGAAGUAGAGAGCAAAAGAGAGUGAGAAAUAGAGAAGUAGAGAGAGUGAGAAAGAGAGAGUGAGAAAUAAAGAAAUGUAAAGAGCAAAAGAGAGAGUGAGAAAUAGAGAAGUAGAGAGAAAAAGAUAUAGAGACAUAGAGCGUGAGAAAGAGAUAAGUAGAGAGCAAAAGAGAGUGAGAAAUAGAGAAGUAGAGAGCAAAAGAGAGAGUGAG